GCUGGCGGCGUGCCUUAUGCAUGCAAGUCGAACGGUCCUUUACCCUUCGGGGUGAAGGAUAGUGGCAAACGGGUGAGUAACGCGUAAGCAACCUGCCCUUAAGUAGGGGAUAACUCUGAGAAAUUGGAGCUAAUACCUUAUGUGGUGAUGAGGUUAGAGCUUCAUCACUAAAGCCUUAGGGCGCUUAAGGAGGGGCUUGCGUCCGAUUAGCUAGUUGGUAGGGUAACGGCUUACCAAGGCGACGAUCGGUAGCUGGUUUGAGAGGAUGUCCAGCCACACUGGGAUUUAGAUACGGCCCAGACUCCUACGGGAGGCAGCAGCAAGGAAUAUUGUGCAAUGGGCGAAAGCCUGACACAGCGACGCCGCGUGGGGGAUGAAGGCCCUCGGGUUGUAAACCCCUUUUCUCAGGGAAGAAUAAUGACGGUACCUGAGGAAUAAGCCUCGGCUAACUACGUGCCAGCAGCCGCGGUAAUACGUAGGAGGCUAGCGUUAUCCGGAUUUACUGGGCGUAAAGAGGGCGUAGGUGGCUUUUCAAGUCGGAUGUAAAAUUUCCCGGCUUAACUGGGACAGAUCAUCCGAUACUGUUAGGCUAGAGGGCAGCAGAGGGAGGUGGAAUUCCCGGUGUAGUGGUGAAAUGCAUAGAUAUCGGGAGGAACACCAGUGGCGAAGGCGGCCUCCUGGGCUGUUUCUGACACUGAGGCCCGAAAGCGUGGGGAGCGAACAGAAUUAGAUACUCUGGUAGUCCACGCUGUAAACGAUGGACACUAGGUAUGGGGAGUAUCGACCCUCUCCGUGCCGAAGCUAACGCGUUAAGUGUCCCGCCUGGGGACUACGACCGCAAGGUUAAAACUCAAGGAAUUGA
rnacentral:rRNA from 1 species